rnacentral:rRNA from 1 species
UAGGGAAUCUUCCACAAAGGACGCAAGUCUGAUGGAGCAACGCCGCGUGAGUGAAGAAGGUUUUCGGAUCGUAAAGCUCUGUUGUUGGUGAAGAAGGAUAGAGGCAGUAACUGGUCUUUAUUUGACGGUAAUCAACCAGAAAGUCACGGCUAACUACGUGCCAGCAGCCGCGGUAAUACGUAGGUGGCAAGCGUUGUCCGGAUUUAUUGGGCGUAAAGCGAGCGCAGGCGGAAUGAUAAGUCUGAUGUGAAAGCCCACGGCUCAACCGUGGAACUGCAUCGGAAACUGUCAUUCUUGAGUGCAGAAGAGGAGAGUGGAAUUCCAUGUGUAGCGGUGGAAUGCGUAGAUAUAUGGAAGAACACCAGUGGCGAAGGCGGCUCUCUGGUCUGCAACUGACGCUGAGGCUCGAAAGCAUGGGUAGCGAACAGG